rnacentral:rRNA from 1 species
UCUCCUGGAAAACGGGUGGUAAUGCCGGAUGCUCCGGUUGGAUGCAUGUCCUUCCGGGAAAGAUUCCAUCGGUAUGGGAUGGGGUCGCGUCCUAUCAGCUUGAUGGCGGGGUAACGGCCCACCAUGGCUUCGACGGGUAGCCGGCCUGAGAGGGCGACCGGCCACAUUGGGACUGAGAUACGGCCCAGACUCCUACGGGAGGCAGCAGUGGGGAAUAUUGCACAAUGGGCGCAAGCCUGAUGCAGCGACGCCGCGUGCGGGAUGGAGGCCUUCGGGUUGUAAACCGCUUUUGAUCGGGAGCAAGCCCUUCGGGGUGAGUGUACCCUUCGAAUAAGCACCGGCUAACUACGUGCCAGCAGCCGCGGUAAUACGUAGGGUGCAAGCGUUAUCCGGAAUUAUUGGGCGUAAAGGGCUCGUAGGCGGUUCGUCGCGUCCGGUGUGAAAGCCCAUCGCUUAACGGUGGGUCUGCGCCGGGUACGGGCGGGCUGGAGUGCGGUAGGGGAGACUGGAAUUCCCGGUGUAACGGUGGAAUGUGUAGAUAUCGGAAAGAACACCA